rnacentral:rRNA from 1 species
ACGAACGCUGGCGGCAGGCUUAACACAUGCAAGUCGAGCGCCCCGCAAGGGGAGCGGCAGACGGGUGAGUAACACGUGGGAAUGUGCCUUUCGGUUCGGAAUAACCCAGGGAAACUUGGACUAAUACCGGAUACGCCCUUCGGGGGAAAGAUUUAUUGCCGAAAGAUCGGCCCGCGUCUGAUUAGCUAGUUGGUGAGGUAAUGGCUCACCAAGGCGAUGAUCAGUAGCUGUUCUGAGAGGAAGAUCAGCCACACUGGGACUGAGACACGGCCCAGACUCCUACGGGAGGCAGCAGUCGGGAAUUUGGGCAAUGGGCGAAAGCCUGACCCAGCAACGCCGCGUGAAGGAUGAAAUCCCUCGGGAUGUAAACUUCGCAAGAAUGGGAAGAAUAAGUGUGGGCUAAUACCCCUCAUGAUGACGGUACCAUUUGUAAGCCCCGGCUAAC